CCCACCCGUGUCUAUCGUACCUUGUUGCUUCGGCGGGCCCGCCGUUUCGACGGCCGCCGGGGAGGCCUUGCGCCCCCGGGCCCGCGCCCGCCGAAGACCCCAACAUGAACGCUGUUCUGAAAGUAUGCAGUCUGAGUUGAUUAUCGUAAUCAGUUAAAACUUUCAACAACGGAUCUCUUGGUUCCGGCAUCGAUGAAGAACGCAGCGAAAUGCGAUAAGUAAUGUGAAUUGCAGAAUUCAGUGAAUCAUCGAGUCUUUGAACGCACAUUGCGCCCCCUGGUAUUCCGGGGGGCAUGCCUGUCCGAGCGUCAUUGCUGCCCUCAAGCACGGCUUGUGUGUUGGGCCCCCGUCCCCCUCUCCCGGGGGACGGGCCCGAAAGGCAGCGGCGGCACCGCGUCCGGUCCUCGAGCGUAUGGGGCUUUGUCACCUGCUCUGUAGGCCCGGCCGGCGCCAGCCGACACCCAACUUUAUUUUUCUAAGGUUGACCUCGGAUCAGGUAGGGAUACCCGCUGAACUUAAGCAUAUCAAUAAGCGG
rnacentral:misc_RNA from 1 species